UACGAAGGGGGCUAGCGUUGUUCGGAAUUACUGGGCGUAAAGGGCGCGUAGGCGGUGUGUCAAGUCAGGCGUGAAAGCCCCGGGCUCAACCUGGGAACCGCGCUUGAGACUGGCACGCUCGAGUUCGGGAGAGGAUGGUGGAAUUCCCAGUGUAGAGGUGAAAUUCGUAGAUAUUGGGAAGAACACCGGUGGCGAAGGCGGCCAUCUGGACCGCAACUGACGCUGGGGCGCGAAAGCGUGGGGAGCAAACAGG
rnacentral:rRNA from 1 species